GAGUGACAAGGGGACGGGAGCGGGUGGAGUACGGAGGUCCGGGUCGUUGUCCGGAGUUAUUGGGCGUGAAGCGAGCGGAGGCUGUUAGAUAAGUCUGAAGUGGAAGGCAGUGGCUCAACCAUUGUAGGCUUUUGAAACUGUUUAACUUGAGUGCAGAAGGGGAGAGUGGAAUUCCAUGUGUAGCGGUGAAAUGCGUAGAUAUAUGGAGGAUCACCGGUGGCGAAAGCGGCUCUCUGGUCUGUAACUGACGCUGAGGCUCGAAAGCGUGGGGAGCGAACAGGAUUAGAUACCCUGGUAGUC
rnacentral:rRNA from 1 species